AGUUUGAUCAGUUCAACAAAGCAGAUGGACUUGAUCAGAGCAGGAGACUUUUAAUCUCAGGGCUGUGGGUUCAAGCCCCACGUUGGAUGA